GCGCCCGUAGCUCAGUUGGAUAGAGCGUCGGCCUCCGGAGCCGAAGGCCACAGGUUCGAAUCCUGUCGGGCGCACCA
rnacentral:tRNA from 4 species